rnacentral:misc_RNA from 1 species
AUUGAUAAUGGUGUUAGAAGAUCAUCUAAAUUUAGGCCUAGUUGACAUCACUUCAGCAUUAUCAUAACAUAAGUAUUAGUAAAUUUAAUGAUCCUUAGAUUUGAAAACUGCAAUAUCUGUAAGACUGCGAUUUUAACUCCUGCAAGAUGGUAAAGGUAUAUGUAGAGGUUAAAGCCAAGGUUAGAAAAUACGUUUAAAUUUUGCUUAUUAUAGAAUAAUCUCAUACAAACGAACUGAACCAAACAACUCUACCCAAUUUAAUCUGUAACCUUGGGACUACAAAGACAGUAACAAUCUUCAGUUAAAUACUGCAACAACAAUUCAUGAAAGCCAGUGGAAAAUUCUGUCAUGAUUGCCUCCAUUCUAUUAUAAAGCAGUCAUGCAUACCAAUUACUAGAAAUCUACAAGAGAUACUGUACAAAUAGGACUCUAUUGAUUUCUUCUGAGUAGAUACUCACAAGUCCUUUGGUUCUAGUAUAUAUUCACAAGUCCUUUGCUUCAAUCUAGUUAUACUCAAAAGUUUGAAAAACAUGGCAACCUAUGGACUAUAUUUGGGAAUGGUGGGUCUCUCUCCUGAACAGCAGAGACAAUUUAUUCACCAGCAAUCUACAUAUAGCUCAAUCCAGAAACCUGUAUAUAACUUCUGGCUAUGUAAUUUUUGUUGCACACCUCUGCAUAAGAAAUCGAACCCAGGAUGAUGAAGAUGAACCACUUUCACCACCAAGCCGUGCCUCCACCACAACCACGUCAACCUUGGAACAAAAGACUAUGACGUGGCUAAGAUCCCAUUCAGAAGCACUUAAAAACAGGCCAAAUGGAAAAUUCUGUCACGAGCUAUGGAUCUGCUAUAGCAAGGACUUUUAACGGACCUGAUUGAAUUCAUUGAUCUAAAAUGGAAUGGAAUUCGGGUUGUAUCAUCAUCAGACGAUGAAUUUGAGGUUGUUGAAGUACUGAACAACCGUGAAGAAGAGCAAAAGAAGAAAAAGGAGAGAAAAGCCCGCAAACGACAAAGAACAGACGAAGCUAUAGAGAAUGAGCGGAAUUUAAACGGAAGAAAUAAGAAUGGAUUGUCUCAGGGACGUUAAAUAUCAGUGGACGUUGUUGAAUGAACAAUUUUUUUUAGCUGCGCUCUCACUUCUAGGCAUAAUGCAUUAAAAUAAAUCAGUGUGUGUAUUGUAUUGGAUAUUCCAUAAUACAUAGGUUGGAGAACAAACUGCGAACAACACAAUCAAAAUAUCUAAGGAUGUAUGAUUUGAUUUGAUUUGAAUUUACUUAUCAGUGGCAGAUCCGGAAAUUCAAAAGAGUGGAGGCCCAGGGAGUAACUUCGAAAGGUGGAAGGUCUAGUAGGCCAAUUCAGCUCCACCGUGAUUGAAGCUGAGAUAUAAAUUUAUGACAUGGCAUCUCUAAUAUAGCCAGAAAUGGCACUCUCAAGCAUAAAUUUGAAUAUAAUUUUCUUUUUUUCUCCAUUUUUUAAAUAAUAACAAAAAAUGUAGGACCCUCUUCCCUUGAAACUGCAAAUAUUAUUAUUACUAUUAUUUUAUCAUUUUAAGUGAGCAUUUAAUGUAUGGAAUGGAAUGUAUGAGUAUGUAUGAGUUUUUUUCCUCAGAUUGUAUUAAGCAUUAUGCCUAUAUCAUAGUAACUUAAUUAUACUUAGCCUGGCUUACAUUAUUGUAUUAACUAUUGAUUGGAAUACAUACUAUAGUGUUUAUACAGAAAAAUAUUCAUCUCUUGUAGUAUGUUAGUUUUUUUGUAGCUCAUUACUCAAAAGAAAUUAUCAUUUAAGAAAUUAUGUAACUUCAAGUAUACUUUUGAGAACUGAGUAUAUACAGUAAUAGUGACUAUUUAUAUACAGUACAGUACUACUACUUUUAUUAAAUAUAAUAAGUAAAUGCAUGUUAGAUUGUAAAGUAGAUAAAUUUAUACUUUGUAAUCAUAUUUUUAAUAAUAUUAUCGUUUUCAUAUUUACAUACUCAUUCUCAUACAGACAACAAAAGCAUUAAAACCUGAAUAAUUAUCAUUAUAUCAUUAUGAAUAUUGUUUUUAUUAUUAAAAAUAUUUCUUAGCCAGGCUUUAAAUAAAAACUUCGGUACACCAGGGUCAUAAGACAAAAAUCCAUUGAUUUGUUGUUGUGACAUCUUGGUGAAAUUAAGAUAACAUCAUUAAGAAGAUAAAAAAACAUUGAUUUAAGUUUAUUCAAACAUAUGAGACUGUCUGUGACUAUUGUUGUAUUCUAUAGGUAUGUUCAGGCACAAGGGUGUAAAGUUUGUGUACAACUUUCAUUGUCUGAAGUUGUCACAGAAUUAAGCUUAUACUUAAAGUAAGAAAGUCUACCACUGUGUGUCUGAACAUACCCAUAGUUAAGCUUGUGUACCAGUAUCUUAUAACUAAUAAAUAUAGGUCUCCCUCUAAUUAAAGACCACCUCCAAUUUAAGACCAUUUUUCUGUUUAUUCUAAUUAGAGACCAAAGCUACUAAAGCCCAUGGAAACCCAGUCC